rnacentral:rRNA from 1 species
UUGGCCUACGGGACGCAGCAGUGGGGAAUAUUGCACAAUGGGGGAAACCCUGAUGCAGCAACGCCGCGUGGGUGAAGGAGCGUUUCGGCGCGUAAAGCCCUGUCAGCGGGGAAGAAGAAAGACGGUACCCGACCAAGAAGCCCCGGCUAACUACGUGCCAGCAGCCGCGGUAAUACGUAGGGGGCGAGCGUUAUCCGGAUUUACUGGGUGUAAAGGGAGCGUAGACGGCUGUGCAAGUCUGAAGUGAAAUGCCGGGGCUCAACCCCGGAACUGCUUUGGAAACUGUACAGCUAGAGUGCAGGAGG